GCAAGACGGAGGUGCUCAUUGUGGGGGCUCAGAAUCUGAGGGCAGCACCAGCACACAAGGCUUUCACUCGCUCAUCAAUUCUCAUCAGUGACAGAAUCUCAAAUGCAGGUGGACCAUGCAGAGUGGCUGGGGAAACCACAUACCUCUGAAUCCAGGGAGUGAAGAAGCAAUAUAGAUAUCGUUUCAAAACUAUUUCUCAUCUCCAACAUCAUGUUUUGAUAGGCUUGGAUGUUCCCACGAAGAUUUGAGAGACUUACAAAUUAUAUGGCUUUAUGUUGUUUGGGGCCGCUGUCCAUAAACAGUCAUCAGGUGUAGAUUUGCCUUUGCAACACAGUUUUGCAAUCAAAUUGUUUCUUCUCGGGAUGAGUCCAUGUGAUGUUUCAUAGCACUUAACAGCUCUAUAAGACCAUAAUUGUGAAUUUGCCCUUCAUUUAGCAUUCUUAGCUGUUUGGAGAAAUGGGAACAGAACUGGAAAGUGUUCCAUGGUUGCAAAUUGAAUGUUGGAGAGCAAAGCUAGUUGGCAAGAAGCCCAGUUCCCAUCUUGCACCUCUAUGCAUAUAAAUUGACAGCCCUCUAUGGCAAUCUGUAUACUUUUGUAACAUGAGAAUGGCUACACCUGUGUAUUUUUUUUGUUCUAAGAAUAGUCAUGUAACUUCCACAUAUGGGUGAUCAACCUUGUCAUAGCACUUGGCAGCUGUAUAUGGAUUAGAAAGGUGACACUGGUUUUCCAUGCUUUCCUGGGACUGUGUUGUAUUUCUGAAAAUGUAAUUGAUCCUAAUGACUUAUUUAUUUUCAAAACAUAUAGACUGCCUUUCCAAAUAUUCAAGGUAGCUAUCAAACACUGCUUGUGUAGUGAUGCUGAAACUAAUCACCAUGAAAACAUUAAUGUUGAGGAAUGUUUUACUGGUUAUAGAAGUGUAAAUAAAUUUUUCUUUCAUGGAAUUCAAGGCAGCAUACGUGGGGUUCCAAUGGCAUACAUGGUGUUCCCAUCUGGGCACUGAUCAGACAAAGACCAUGCUUCCAAAUGGUUGCUGCCUCAUGUCUUCAGACCAUAUGCUGAACAAUAUAUAUAGAGAGAGAAUGUUAAAAAUUGUGGAGAAUAACCCACCCAUUCAGAAUAUAUUCAGGCCAAAAUCUGCAAAUGAAACUUAAACUUUUUUAAAAAAAUGAGGAGGGAUUAACUAUUUUUUAAAAAAAAUAGUUUUUACCUUUUUAUAAAACACAUUUUUAUGUUUAUUAAGGUCAGGCAGUAAUUGUUUCUUGUGCUCUUUGGAUCAAAGGAAACUUUCCUCUGUGGCUAUAAAUGGACCUGCAAAAUAUCCACGGAGUACGUUAAACCUCAGUGAUAGCAAAGUCCCAGACUAUGGUGAUCUUUUACUUGCCUCGUAUCCAAGACAAGCAGCUAGAACAAUGCUGGAAAUAGUUUGGCACUAGCAUGCAUUGUUUUGUUCAGGAUUCUUGGGUGGCAUAACACUUAAGUGGGAGAGCUGAUAGAGCAAGCUGUGCCAAAAACAUUAUAUCCAUGCAUUCUACGGCUCAGAAAACAUGCGAGUGCCAUUGCAACUUCAUUUGUUCAGUACUCAAGGAAGUAGCUUUUGGAUGAUUUCCAAAGACAGAUGAUGAAGUGCUAUUUUAGUGAGAGUGUUGUUGCUAUGGCUAGUUCAUUUGCUUAGUGAUUCUUGCAGCUGAUCAGCAGUAAUUUUUCUUAUGUUCUAAAUCUGAGUAAAUGUUCAUAUGUUGCUCUUCA